rnacentral:rRNA from 1 species
GACGAACGCUGGCGGCGUGCUUAACACAUGCAAGUCGAACGGAAAGGCCCCUUUGGGGGUACUCGAGUGGCGCACGGGUGAGUAACACGUGAGUAACCUGCCCUUGACUUCGGGAUAACUUCAGGAAACUGGGGCUAAUACCGGAUAGGAAUCCUUGCUGCAUGGUGGGGGUUGGAAAGCUUCGGCGGUUUUGGAUGGACUCGCGGCUUAUCAGCUUGUUGGUGGGGUAGUGGCUUACCAAUGCUUUGACGGGUAGCCGGCCUGAGAGGGCGACCGGCCACAUUGGGACUGGGAUACAGCCCAGACUCCUACGGGAGGCAGAAGUGGUGAAUAUUGAACAAUGGGCGGAAGCCUGAUGCAGCAACGCCGCGUGCGGGAUGACGGCCUUCGGGUUGUAAACCGCUUUCAGCAGGGGCGAAGCUUGUGGUGACGGUACCUGCAGAAGAAGCACCGGCUAACUACGUG